rnacentral:rRNA from 1 species
AUGACCCUAUGGACGUUGGAGGGCGCGGUGGAGGCCAUUGGGGACAAGGUCAUCGUCGACCGGCUGGACAGCCGCACGCACGAGCGCGCCGACACCAAGCUCUUUGCGUGCUGGGUCUGGUGCUGGGACACCGCCCACAUCCCAACCGCGCACCAUCUCGAAGCAUGCCAGGGGGCGGGCCGCGUCGACGAGAUGCUAGGCUACUCCCCCCCGAGCCGUGCGGUGGCGCCCCCUCCCGAGCUGCUGCAGUACGACCUCCUGCUGCACCUCGACCGCGUCGAAGACUGG